ensembl:lncRNA
CAGAUUUAUAGGUUAAAGUUAAAUAACAUGCAGAGCAAAGUGCAUUGGGGGUCUUUAUUUAUCAGGGAAUUCCGGUCGUUGUGGAACGGUCCACUUUAAAAUCAGUUUGUCCGUGUUUCUUGUGACUGGAGCACCAGCGCUGUAAGAAAUGGGAGAGAAUAUUACAAUAAUGGUCACGUGAAAGAACCGCUGGGUCUCUGGAUGGCGGAAGAGAGGCGCCCGGACAUUGACGCGCGCGCACUUUUUCUAUGAAAUUUCGUUCAGCGCUACUGAAACUCAUUCGCAUCUUGCAACGGUUAUUUGUGGUGGUUUUCGAGCCGGGUGACACACACCAGCCCUCUUCCUGUUGCUAACGCCACCCAGAGGUGGCGGGUCCCAGCGCGCGGUGGUCUGAUGGGGGGUGGUGAGAUGGAGAGCGAUGGAGGAAGUGGUGUGUGUGUGUGUGUGAAUGAGCCGGCCCACCCUUGAGUGUGCGCGAGCGCGUGAGUGUGUGUAUAUGUGUGUCCGGGUGUGCGCACACGCGCCAGGCGGGCGCGCAGACGACCUGCGCAACAUCCUGCCAGCAGGAACCGGGGAGGCCGACAUCAGCGCGGGUUCGACGAGACGAGCCGUGGUGGUUGAGGAGCCAGCAUGGCGUCGGGCCACACGGUCAUGCACCUGCAGAGGAAGCUGAAGGACCUGCAGCGGCAGCGCUGUAGGAGGGGGGGCAGUCAGGAGUCCCGAGUGCUGGGGAUGGUGGCACCCACCAUGAGGACCCCAGCCCUGGGUUCCCCGUUCAUCGCGUCCGAUGGGACCCUUCACUCCCACAGAGGUCUGCAGCCUCACUCCCCCUUGGCACGAGUAGCAGGGAGGGACCUGGACGACUACCGGCCCGUCCCGCCGGCCACGGCCUCCGACGAUCCCAAAGAUCCAACCGCCGGCACUCGGGAGCUCCCUUCCCCGGCCGCAGAGCUCUUACACCCCGGCAGCGCCCCUCUAAAGCCCCCACCGGAGAUCCCCCAGCCGAGGAGGGCCGUCCCCGCGGCGACCGUCCCGCUGUCUGCUCUGACCUGCGACCCCUGGAGGGCGGACGCCUCUCAGGUCAAACGUCUAUAUUCGAAACCGUUUUUAAAAUUCCUUCCUGAAAAUUCCCUUUGCCGCAUUUGCUCCUCAAUCCUCAUUCAGGUCGUUUUCCACCACAUUUUGGGGAUCAUGAGCAACGACGGCCUUCGCUGCCGUUACACGCUAAGAAAAAACCAGACACCGCAAAAAAUCAGCCUCAUUAACUUUCAUUUCAUUUCCCCCAGGAGACCUCCUUCAUCGCGUUCCUCUCCCGUCACCUUUUUUUAUUUGAUUUUAUUUAGUUUUAUUUACUCCAUUUCAAUUCCAUUCGUCCAUCAUGCGCAGGCUUUUCCGGUAAUGCCUGCCAUAGGCUUCAUCCCUCCCGCCAGGCCUCCGGGGGACGGGCCCUUCUUCCAGAGGGAGAGUGCGAACGCAGCCGAGUUCCCCCCAAACAGCAGAGAGGUCCUGUGGCCGUUACCCAACUACCCCGCCAUAUUUCCCGACGCCCUCACCAUGCCUCCUUCAUACCAGUGUCCCACCUACGUGCCUCACCUUCCGCUCCACCCGUCCUGGUACAGGUUGGACAUCCCACCUUUUCUGUACAAGAAGGCCUCCGUCCACCCGUCUGAGCUGAGUGCGUUCCCUCCCCUUCACCUGUCCCACCCUCUGUCCAGGGACACCUUUGGGCUCAAACCGUCUGGGUUUGCGGUUGGCCCUCACAGCAGCUCCGCAGAAGGAAGAAUAGUCAAGGAAGGGGCGGCGAUCCAUAAGAGCAAGGAGAGCAAGCCUGUUUCCCAUUUGCCCCAGAAUGUGCUAAUGCACACGCCAGAACGUCUGCAGAGGAAGGAGGGGAAGGGGCAGAGAAUGGUGGUAACGGGCAGGACCCCCAGUCGAGAUGGGGGCAAGCCAGACAAGAACCGGAUGGUUGCCGUGGAAACGCUUCCUAUCGCCAACUCCUGUUUCAAUAGGCAUAGAAGGGGAUUUUCCAGUUCAGCUCCCUCAGGGCCAGAUGUUCAAGACUUGGGUCAAAAUCCGGAGUGUCAUUUGUGGCCGUGGGUGUCUUUGCAACACACGAAAAAAGCGGCCAGGUCUAAUGGGUUGCUGGUUCCAGGAAGACCUCAGCAUCUGACCAAAGAGGGUCAACUUUCCCAUGUUUUGCCUCCAGUCAAGACCAAGCUGAAGGAUGGUCUCAACAGGAGAGAUGGAGAGAAAGGUUUGGCACAAGUGGAUUCUGGGAGCUACCUGAGACAUCUACUAACAGAACCACGGGAUUCUCUGAAGGCCUUAGACCUCAGUCCAAAGAUCCAGCGAGGUAAAUAUAGGGAUGAGCACAAGGCCACACAGCCGUCCCCCAGCAGAGCUCGAGAUGAGAUCCACCAAAAGGGGGAGAGUGUCUCUUCACGUGGGCAACAAGAAGACUGUUCACCAGCGCCGGCAGAAAAUGAGCAGAAUGAUACACAAGGUCAAAGGUCAGCAAGAUCCAGCUCCAUGCCCAACCUGUUGUUAACUCACAGUCCGCACAGCGAACAUGAAAGACUGAAGGGUUUCGGUGGAAGAGGCAUCAGCACAAAAGAGGAGCUUCAGAAGAAAGAGGUUCACUUGAAAAGGGGAUCUCCUCGGGGUGGAGCAAAUCUGAACCUCAGAGUGCCUGGAAAUGGACACCUAGGCGCUGGGGGGCUGACCUGCACCAAAGGUGCCAAUGAAACAAAUCCAAGCAAAAGGGCACUUGAACCUCCUGCGACAAAAAGUGAAGAAUCAGCUCAGGAAUCUUCCCCAGCGAAGACCAGUAGACUGGGUCACUGUGAAGCCCCAGCAAACUCUUCUUCAUGUACAAUAAGUGGCAGCCAGGAAAGUUCAUGCUCAGCUCAUUGUGAGUGCUCAUCCUUGCAGGUGGGGGGUGAGAAGACCCAAGAGAAUGCGAAAAGAAGACUUUGUGGAAAUACCACGAGCCAGGGGGGGUCGGCAGAACGUUCCCCAGGCGGCUUCCCAAAUCAGUGCUGGGAGGAGCCCGUCCAAGAACAUGAUGGUUACCAGGACCACGCAGAUGGGACGCAUGGUGUUCACGGUCAGGUGGGAGGUUUCAGCAUUUUGGACCUGACCACAUCCAGCUUGUCCAGCGAUGAGGAGACAGAGGAGAAGCCUGGCUGGCAGGGGGUGGAAGGUGUACUGGAGAUGUACAAGUCCUACUUAGAAGAGACCACAUUUGAAGAGAAGAUACUUCAAGAGCAGCUCAGACUUUCGAAAGAGAAAAACAACGAGCUCAGUCGGGUGGCCAAAAAUCUGAAGGCGCAGAUCCAGGUGGGUUCGAGGAGAUCUUGUGCUUCCCUUGAAGGGAAUAAUGUGGUAACGCGGGGCCUCUGAAAGCAGAAGAUCUCUCUCGGUAAACCUGCACAGUAAAACAUCACUUCUAAAAACAUGUAUUUUAUAAAGACUCUUCUAAUAUGUUGGAGGGUGCAGUGGGUUAGACUGGGUCCUGCUCUCCGCUGGGUCUUGGGUUUGAGUCCCGCUUGGAGUGCCUUGCGACGGACUGGCAUCCCAUCCUGGGUGUGUCCCCUCCCCCUCCAGGCUUACACCCUGUGUUGCUGGGAUAGGGUCUGGCUCCCCACGACCCUGUAUGGGACAAGUGGUUACUGACUGUCUGUCAUCAUCUUAGAUGGAUUAUUGUUCCACAUUACUACUGUGUGUGAAUAAUAAUUUUUGAACAACCCUUCAACCGUGACGGCUACAUUUCCAGUUUCAGUCAACAAUGUUCCUUAGUAAAAAUAAGUUAUAAUAAAAGAAUAAGACUCAUAAAUGCUAUGCUAUCA